AAACUUUCAACAACGGAUCUCUUGGGUUCUGGCAUCGAUGAAGAACGCAGCGAAAUGCGAUAAGUAAUGUGAAUUGCAGAAUUCACGUGAAUCAUCGAAUGCUUUGAACGCACAUUGCGCCCGCCCAGUAUUCUUGGCGGGCAUGCCUGUUCGAAGCGUUCAUUU
rnacentral:rRNA from 1 species